AUUGCUUCUCAGGCUUUUGGCUAAGAUCAAGUGUGAUAUCUGUUCUUAUCAGUUUAAUAUCUGAUACAUCCUUUACCCGAGGACAUUAUAUUAAAUGUAUUUUUGGAGCAAGAAGAUGGAAUAGGAGCUUGCCCUGUCCACUCCGUGCAUCAACCCAGUAUUGCAGUACUUCUGGGACCGGGGCACCAAGA